rnacentral:rRNA from 1 species
GAUGAACGCUAGCGGCAGGCCUAAUACAUGCAAGUCGGACGGGAUUCAGGAGCUUGCUUCUGAUGAGAGUGGCGCACGGGUGCGUAACACGUAUGUAACCUACCUUUAUCAGGGGGAUAGCCUCUCGAAAGAGAGAUUAAGCCCGCAUAAAAUCACAGCACAGCAUUGUGUAAUGAUCAAAUAUUUAUAGGAUAAAGAUGGGCAUGCGGAACAUUAGCUAGAUGGCGGGGUAACGGCCCACCAUGGCGACGAUGUUUAGGGGAUCUGAGAGGAUGGCCCCCCACACUGGGACUGAGAAAAGGACCAGACUCCUACGGGAGGCAGCAGUAAGGAAUACUGGUCAAUGGGAGGAAGCCUGAACCAGCCAUGCCGCGUGCAGGAAGACGGCGUUACGGGUUGUAAACUGCUUUUAGAAGGGAAUAAACCCAGAUACGUGUAUCUGGCUGAAUGUACUGUAAGAAUAAGAACCGGCUAACCCCGUG